rnacentral:rRNA from 1 species
GGACGGGUGAGUAAUGCCUAGGAAAUUGCCUUGAUGUGGGGGAUAACCAUUGGAAACGAUGGCUAAUACCGCAUAAUGCCUACGGGCCAAAGAGGGGGACCUUCGGGCCUCUCGCGUCAAGAUAUGCCUAGGUGGGAUUAGCUAGUUGGUGAGGUAAUGGCUCACCAAGGCGACGAUCCCUAGCUGGUCUGAGAGGAUGAUCAGCCACACUGGAACUGAGACACGGUCCAGACUCCUACGGGAGGCAGCAGUGGGGAAUAUUGCACAAUGGGCGAAAGCCUGAUGCAGCCAUGCCGCGUGUAUGAAGAAGGCCUUCGGGUUGUAAAGUACUUUCAGUUGUGAGGAAGGGGGUAGCGUUAAUAGCGCUGUCUCUUGACGUUAGCNACAGAAGAAGCACCGGCUAACUCCGUGCCAGCAGCCGCGGUAAUACGGAGGGUGCGAG